GGCGAGUUAGCCAAGCGGUCUAAGGCGCCAGACUAAGGCUUAAGCGCGUUGCUUAUGUAAUAUCUGGUCCGAAAGGGCGUGGGUUCGAAUCCCACACUCGUCA